ACAAUGGAGAGUUUGAUCCUGGCUCAGGAUGAACGCUAGCGGGAGGCCUAACACAUGCAAGCCGAGCGGUAGAUUGCUUUCGGGCAAUUGAGAGCGGCGUACGGGUGCGGAACACGUGUGCAACCUGCCUUUAUCUGGGGGAUAGCCUUUCGAAAGGAAGAUUAAUACCCCAUAAUAUAAGAGACGGCAUCGUUUUUUAUUGAAAACUCCGGUGGAUAGAGAUGGGCACGCGCAAGAUUAGAUAGUUGGUGAGGUAACGGCUCACCAAGUCUACGAUCUUUAGGGGGCCUGAGAGGGUGAUCCCCCACACUGGUACUGAGACACGGACCAGACUCCUACGGGAGGCAGCAGUGAGGAAUAUUGGACAAUGGGUGAAAGCCUGAUCCAGCCAUCCCGCGUGAAGGACGACGGCCCUAUGGGUUGUAAACUUCUUUUGUAUAGGGAUAAACCUUUCCACGUGUGGAAAGCUGAAGGUACUAUACGAAUAAGCACCGGCUAACUCCGUGCCAGCAGCCGCGGUAAUACGGAGGGUGCAAGCGUUAUCCGGAUUUAUUGGGUUUAAAGGGUCCGUAGGCUGAUUUGUAAGUCAGUGGUGAAAUCUCACAGCUUAACUGUGAAACUGCCAUUGAUACUGCAAGUCUUGAGUGUUGUUGAAGUAGCUGGAAUAAGUAGUGUAGCGGUGAAAUGCAUAGAUAUUACUUAGAACACCAAUUGCGAAGGCAGGUUACUAAGCAACAACUGACGCUGAUGGACGAAAGCGUGGGGAGCGAACAGGAUUAGAUACCCUGGUAGUCCACGCCGUAAACGAUGCUAACUCGUUUUUGGGGCGCAAGCUUCAGAGACUAAGCGAAAGUGAUAAGUUAGCCACCUGGGGAGUACGAACGCAAGUUUGAAACUCAAAGGAAUUGACGGGGGCCCGCACAAGCGGUGGAUUAUGUGGUUUAAUUCGAUGAUACGCGAGGAACCUUACCAAGGCUUAAAUGGGAAAUGACAGGCUUAGAAAUAGGCUUUUCUUCGGACAUUUUUCAAGGUGCUGCAUGGUUGUCGUCAGCUCGUGCCGUGAGGUGUUAGGUUAAGUCCUGCAACGAGCGCAACCCCUGUCACUAGUUGCCAUCAUUAAGUUGGGGACUCUAGUGAGACUGCCUACGCAAGUAGAGAGGAAGGUGGGGAUGACGUCAAAUCAUCACGGCCCUUACGCCUUGGGCCACACACGUAAUACAAUGGCCGGUACAGAGGGCAGCUACACAGCGAUGUGAUGCAAAUCUCGAAAGCCGGUCUCAGUUCGGAUUGGAGUCUGCAACUCGACUCUAUGAAGCUGGAAUCGCUAGUAAUCGCGCAUCAGCCAUGGCGCGGUGAAUACGUUCCCGGGCCUUGUACACACCGCCCGUCAAGCCAUGGAAGUCUGGGGUACCUGAAGUCGGUGACCGUAACAGGAGCUGCCUAGGGUAAAACAGGUAACUAGGGCUAAGUCGUAACAAGGUAGCCGUACCGGAAGGUGCGGCUGGAACAUCUCAUUUUAGA
rnacentral:rRNA from 1 species